rnacentral:tRNA from 1 species
AGGGCUAUAGCUCAGUUAGGUAGAGCACCUCGUUUACACCUCUGUUUUACCGAGAAAGUAUAAGGUUCGAGUCCGUAUAGCCCUA